rnacentral:rRNA from 1 species
CCUCAGUUCGGAUUGAAGGCUGAAAUUCGCCUUCAUGAAGUCGGAAUUGCUAGUAAUGGCAGGUCAGCAUACUGCCGUGAAUACGUUCCCGGGCCUUGUACACACCGCCCGUCACACCAUGAGAGUUGGGAAUACCCGAAGCCUGUGAGCUAACUUUUAGAGGCAGCAGUCGAAGGUAGAAUCAAUGAUUGGGGUGAAGUCGUAACAAGGUAUC